UUUAUCUAAAGCUGCAAUGGUGCUCUUUCGAUGUGGGAUGGAGAUUCAGUAAAAGAUUUCAUGGAUACAAGCCAUCCGGAAAAAAGGUUUUGAAAUGCACACGAUGCUUGGUAAUGAAAAUCCAAACCCCUUAUCUUUAAUUCUUUUGCAAUUGUUUGUAUGGCUAAUUUAUUAUUAUUAUUAUUAUUAUUAUUAUUUUUUUUGUUUUACAGCAAAAUGGAGGUUGUGGGUUCUUCUCAUGAUGUGACCCCCCUAUGUGUCAUAGAUUUGUGGAGAUCAUACCUAGUCUAAGAACAACAUAUCUUGGAAUUGUAGAUGCAGAACAAUGUUUUUCAGGUUCUAGGAGCUGAAUUUUUUGUUUUUUUAUGUGAGUAUGUUUUGAUGUGGAUUUUAGAGGAAAAUAUAGCUUCUGUAGUCUUGCUCAUUUGGAUAAUAAUUGGAUGUUAGUAAAUGUGGUUGGUUUCAAUAGAAGUGUUGCAAUGAUUUUGAUUUCCUAAAUAUCUGGUGUGUAAUAAAAU
rnacentral:lncRNA from 1 species